GAAACGCGAACCAAGCAGCCCCAUCCCAAGGGCAUGAGACUUGGAGCGAACACCCGCAAGAGUGUUCUACA
rnacentral:sRNA from 28 species